AUGGGGGCUCUGCCUCGGGGUCUGCUGGUCCUCGGCGUUUGCGCCGUCCUGGUGGCGGCCGUGCUCGCCGAUGCAUCGCCGGCGUCGUCGAUGGUCGUCGGCUUGGCCAAGUGCGCCGACUGCACCAGGAAGAACAUGAAGGCUGAGGCUGCUUUCACGGGCCUUCAGGUGGCUGUCAAGUGCAAGAACGCCCACGGCGAAUACGAGACCAAGGCCGUCGGCGCGGUGGACAAGUCCGGCGCGUUCGGCGUGCCCCUCGGCGCCGACCUCCUCCGGGAGGACGGCGAGCUGAAGCAGGACUGCUUCGCGCAGCUCCACAGCGCGCCCGACCACCCGUGCCCCGGGCAGGAGCCGUCCAUGAUCGUCCGGCAAUCCGCCAACGGCGCCGAGAAGAACGGCUUCGUCGCCGUCCCCGGCGAGGUGCACUACUCCUCCCAGGAGUGCGCGUCGGCGUUCCUCUGCCACUUCUUCCACAAGAAGCACCUCUUCCACAAGAAGCCCGCCUUGGUCGUCCCUCACCUCAACAAGAAGGCCAUCGUGAUCCCGCACAUCCACAAGAAGCCGAAGCCAGUGCCGGUGCCGGAAUACAAGCCGCCGACACCCACCCCGGUGUACACGCACCCGACGCCCGUGCCGGAGCACAAGCCGCCGACGCCGGUGUACACGCACCCGACACUGAUCUACCACCCUCCCGCUGACCAGAAGAUGGCCCAAGACCCGGAGACGGACCCUCAGCUCUUCAAGAAGCUCCUGCCGUUCAUCAAGAAGAACCCAUUCUUCAAGAAGUUCCCCCCUGCCAAGGAGGAUACCAAGCCAUAG
rnacentral:rRNA from 1 species